rnacentral:rRNA from 1 species
UACGGAGGGGGCGAGCGUUAUUCGGAAUUAUUGGGCGUAAAGGGCGCGUAGGCGGCUGAACAAGUCAAAGGUGAAAUCCCUCGGCUCAACUGAGGAACUGCCUUUGAAACUGUUCGGCUUGAGGCCGGGAGGGGGUAGCGGAAUUCCCAGUGUAGCGGUGAAAUGCGUAGAUAUCAGGAGGAACACCGGUGGCGAAGGCGGGUCUCUGGGCCGAUACUGACGCUGAGGAGCGAAAGCGUGGGGAGCGAACAGG